rnacentral:lncRNA from 1 species
CAGUAACUCUCAGCAGGGCUGUGGAGCUCUGAAGGCAUUAGAUAGAUGGCACUCUACAAGAGGAAGGCAUUCAUCAUUGAAAUUUCACGUAAAUAAACUUAAAUGGCCGCCUCACCUUUCCCUGCUCCUCUUCCUCUGUGCUUGGCAGUGGUGGCAGUGCACCAGCAGGGUUCUCGGGGGACAGCGGCUGCAGCUCCUGGCUGGGGCACCGUGACUGAGGCGUCCGCUGAGCCAUCUGCUCGGAAAGAGUCCGGGUCUUCCCGUCUUGGGACAGGCCCAGGAAUUUCUCACGGGCGCUGAAGAAGUCGAUGCUGUCCGUGCCGAGGUUGGAGGACGCGGUGAUGCAUGUGGCGUCGACAGGGUUAGCGGGGAUAGUGUCUGUGUCACCGCUCCCGCUGGGGUUGUUGUUGUCAUCGUUGGCGUAGGGUCCUAAAGACCGAGGCGCUGUUGGAGUGAGAGGGCUCACGGCCAUGGGGGUCCCUGGGGACAUCAUACUGACACUGUCCCCCCUCUCGCUCAGCGGGUCUGACAGGGAGCGUCCCAGGGUGUCCGAGUCAUCGCUGGACUCCAGGGUGGCCUGAGAUACGACCUCCGAGCUGCUGAGGUCAGGCAGAUCCAGGGUCAGCUCUACACGCUGGGAUUUCUGUUUAGGCACAGGACUGGACAGCUGUGUGCUCAAACCUAGAUGGAGGGGUUUGGCCAGUGGCUGGGGGAAGGGAGAAGGAGGGAGGAUAUGCAGCGAGGGGGGAGGAUGGGGGACGGCGGUGAUUGGCACAGUCACGGCCACCCCCACCAGAGCAGAGUUGUCCGUUCUCUCCUCGGGCACCACCGUGACUGCCAGCGGGAGGAAGGAGUCCUUGCGGGGUCCUCGCCCUCGAGAAAAGAGGCUCUCCCGGGAGUCACACAAACCGUUGGAGGCUGGCAGGCCAGGGGAGUGGGAGUGUGAGCGGGUGAGUCGGACGGGCUCUGACUGUGUGUCUGAGAUGUGGGAGCCCUCGGUCUUGUUGUCGGGGUCAUUGGCGGCACCAAGCGCCUGGAGCAGGAAGUGUUGCAGGGAGGGCGUGGGGCCAUUGUUGUUGUGUGGUUCCGAGAGGCCCAGGGUGUGGCUGUGAGGGCCCGUCUUACACAGCGGAGCCUCGUGGCGCUCUGAGAGGUCGCUGUCCGAGUGGGAGCGCCACAACUUGUUGUGCCUCUGUUUACUGCGGAGAAAGG